GGCCCUGCCUCUUGGGGGGCUUCUGGGUCUGCCUGCUGGGAAGACCUUUCUGAACUAGCCUUUUCUGACAUCAUCUGUAGGCGAGACUUGAAGGUUACUGCCCCUGGGGCUGUAAGCUGGGUUGUACAAACAAGCUUUGAAUAAAAUAUCGUGUCCUUGGUCUGCAAGAAUAUUCUCUACAGCAAGCUUCCACUGGAUCACAGCCUCCUCCAGGCAUCCACCCACCAUGGCAUGGACACCUCCCCCACAGGCUGCGGGUGGAUCUCUACAUCCCCUGUGGACCUCCAUGGACUGCAGGGGCACAGCUGCUUCACCAUGGUCAUCACCACGGCCUGCAGAGGAAUCUUGGCUCUGACACCUAGAACACCUCCUCCCCAUCCUUCUCCAUUGACAUUGGUGUUGUUUCCCCUCACAUGUUCUCACCUUUUUCUCCUCUCU